rnacentral:lncRNA from 10 species
GUUUUUCCUUGCUGAAUACUUGGGAAAAUUGGUUUGUGUCUGUGGCAAAGGAAUUCAACAAUACUUUCAUUUUCAGGUCAGACUAUUUUAAGAAAAUAGAAGACUAUCAUUUACAGCUGGUAUGGCCCUGUGGUGGUGUGGACCCAGACUUCAAACACAGAUGAAGAUCGAAAACUGAUAUCCCGCAUCUGAUAUACAAAUUAAGAAUUCAGAGCCCAAUCCUAACUUCAAGCCAAGAAGUAAAAAAAGGAAGAAAAAAUCAAGACGCUCAGAACAGAACUCCAGCAAUAUUGAACCCAGGAAAAACGUCUUCACAAAUACAAAAGUGUUUCAAGGAAAAAUUGAAGUCACUCCUGCCCACAUCCACUGCCCAGUGUAACCGCCCUUAAAGAUUGCUGUGUAUUUGUGUACUAAUUUUUCUGUGUUUAUAAAAUCAUUCAUAUAUUUAUUAAUAACAUGUUUAGAAGAAAUCUCUGCAUUAACCUCAGGGCACACAGCUGUCUUUGAUCGCCCCCAACUCCUCAGAAUGUCCUGCCUCCAUUUCACUCUCCCACAGCUGACUUUCUCCCAUGCUUAGGCCCCCCAAGAGCACCUGCUGAAAAACUACUUCCAACCUUAAGCUCAGGCCCUGACUCACAGCCCUUUAUUCUAACAGAGCCCCUAGGUGUUUGGGCAGAGGUAGGUGGGUAUUACGAGGGAAGCGGGAGGAGGACAGUGAGGCCCCUUAAGUUCUUUGUCCUGGCCAGGCGGCUGCCCUCCUGCAUUACAGGUCUCCACAGGAUAGGUCCCAAUUCCCAACUACUUUCAAUUGGUGGGGUGUGGAUUGGCAGGAUGGGUUAAUGCUCUGCCACAACUUUCUCACUUUAUAAUGGGAGCUGUAUGGUAAAUUCACCUGAUAGUAAUAACUUAAGCAUAUCCUGAGAAUGAUCCUGUAUGGCAGACGCACCUGAAUCCUGAAUGUGUGUUUGAAGUUCUGAGCUAAGAAAUCUGGGGGUGGCCAACACAGAGAUUCAUUUCUUAUUUAUGAAGAAGCUGUGAACCCCCAGCCGUCCCGUCCCAUGGAAUGUGGGCUAUACAGGGGUUCAAGGCCCUGUAUUUUGGGUUAAAUGAAGACUGCCAGGUGGAGGUUGUUAGGGGGAGGCUGUGAAGUGAAAAUACUAUAUAAGGCCGGGCGCGGUGGCUCACACCUGUAAUCCCAGCACUUUGGGAGGCCGAGGUGGGCGGAUCAUGGGGUCAAGAGAUCGAGACCAUCCUGGCCAACAUGGUGAAACCCCGUCUCUACUAAAAAUACAAAAAAGUUAGCUGGGCAUGUUAGCACGUGCGUGUAGUCCCAGCUACUCGGGAGGCUGAGGCAGGAGAAUCGCUUGAACCCAGGAGGUGGAGGUUGCAGUGAGCCGAGACCGCGCCACUGCACUCCAGCCUGGCGACUGAUCGAGACUCCAUCUCAAAAUAAAACCCUCUAUAAAUUGUGUGACUUUAUUUUGCAAGUGGUUGUGGUUCUGUUGUCCAGCCCACUGUCGUUGGGUCUUGUUCCCCAAUUGUAAGCCCUCAAUAAAACCUCAUGUCUC